GCUUCCAUGGCAUGGAAGAGGUCGAGGGUUCGAAUCCCUCUAGCUCCA
rnacentral:tRNA from 1 species